rnacentral:rRNA from 1 species
UACGUAGGGGGCAAGCGUUGUCCGGAUUUACUGGGCGUAAAGAGCGUGUAGGCGGUUUGGUAGGUCCGUUGUGAAAACUCGAGGCUCAACCUCGAGACGCCGGCGGAAACCAUCAGGCUAGAGUCCGGAAGAGGAGAGUGGAAUUCCUGGUGUAGCGGUGAAAUGCGCAGAUAUCAGGAAGAACACCCGUGGCUAAGGCGGCUCUCUAGUACGGUACUGACGCUGAGACGCGAAAGCGUGGGGAGCGAACAGG